rnacentral:lncRNA from 1 species
UAGUAUCCUUCAUCCAUCAAACAUAUAUAUCUGUUACACCAACAUCACCCUCCACCUUCUAAUCUGCCAUCGACACUCAACACCGGUGACCGUCAACCACCACCUCCACCCUCUUCACCUUCCGACCGGAACCCUAACGUCGCCGCCGGCCCCUCCGUCCUUAACCCCAAUCUCCGACGGAACCAUCCACGCAUCACCGCCGCCCUCAGCCUUCCUUCCACCCACGCGACGUCCUCCACCUGCUUCGUCACCCUUCUCCGUCAUCUCCGCCACUCGCUGACCACCUCCACAUCUCCAUUGCCGGCACCGCCCUGAAUAGCACCGCCGGUCAAACACAGCCUUACUUCUCCGUCGCCGGUUCCAAUUAGGAACAACAUCAGUCGCCUUGCAUAUCAGGACUCGUUUAAGUUUCAACGGUGAUGCUCUUGAUGAUUGUUGAUAAACCAACCGUCGUGGAAAUAUGAGUGAAACGAAACGAACAACUGCAACCACCUUUGUAGAUUCCUUACACACUCAUCUCCGAGCCUCGAGGACGAUGCUAUAUCUUAAGCUUGGGGAGUUGCAUUUUCCAUGA